GGAAGUUAGACUCCAUACAACGGACGAGACGCAUGCCAGCUCUUACAACGCCUGGAUAGCUGCCAAACUAACACCGAUUCAGAUGACCAUCCUACCCAUGCUUAGAUUACGGAGACAUCAUUUAUAGAUCAGCAGUCCCCUCAGGAGACCUUCUGCCUGACAUGAUGACUCCUUGCUGUCCCCAGUCCACCUGGCCAUGCUGCUGCUCCAGUUUCAACUGUUCUGCCUUAUUAUUAUUCGACCAUGCUGGUCAUUUAUGAACAUUUGAACAUCUUGGCCAUGUUCUGUUAUAAUCUCUACCCGGCACAGCCAGAAGAGGACUGGCCACCCCACAUAGCCUGGUUCCUCUCUAGGUUUCUGCCUAGGUUUUGGCCUUUCUAGGGAGUUUUUCCUAACCACCGUGCUUCUACACCUGCAUUGCUUGCUGUUUGGGGUUUUAGGCUGGGUUUCUGUACAGCACUUUGAGAUAUCAGCUGAUGUACGAAGGGCUAUAUAAAUAAAUUGGAUUUUGGUAGGCCGUCAUUGUAAAUAAGAAUUUGUUCUUAACUGACGUGCCUAAUUUUUAAAUAAAAGAUUAAAUAAAUAAAAUACAUU